AGAGUUUGAUCCUGGCUCAGGACGAACGCUGGCGGCGUGCCUAAUACAUGCAAGUCGAGCGCAGGAAGCUCACGGAACUCUUCGGAGGGAAGUGAAGGGAAUGAGCGGCGGACGGGUGAGUAACACGUAAGGAACCUGCCCCAAGGAUUGGGAUAACUCCGAGAAAUCGGAGCUAAUACCGAAUAGUUCUUCAGACCGCAUGGUCUGAUGAUGAAAGGCGCUUCGGCGUCACCUUGGGAUGGCCUUGCGGUGCAUUAGCUAGUUGGUGGGGUAAUGGCCCACCAAGGCGACGAUGCAUAGCCGACCUGAGAGGGUGAUCGGCCACACUGGGACUGAGACACGGCCCAGACUCCUACGGGAGGCAGCAGUAGGGAAUCUUCCACAAUGGACGAAAGUCUGAUGGAGCAACGCCGCGUGAGUGAUGAAGGUUUUCGGAUCGUAAAACUCUGUUGUAAGGGAAGAACAAGUACGAGAGGUAAUGCUCGUACCUUGACGGUACCUUGCGA
rnacentral:rRNA from 1 species